CCUACGGGAGGCAGCAGUGAGGAAUAUUGGUCAAUGGACGCAAGUCUGAACCAGCCAUGCCGCGUGCAGGAUGACGGCUCUAUGAGUUGUAAACUGCUUUUGUACGAGGGUAAACCCCGAUACGUGUAUCGGGUUGAAAGUAUCGUACGAAUAAGGAUCGGCUAACUCCGUGCCAGCAGCCGCGGUAAUACGGAGGAUCCGAGCGUUAUCCGGAUUUAUUGGGUUUAAAGGGUGCGUAGGCGGUUUGAUAAGUUAGAGGUGAAAUGUCGGGGCUCAACCCCGAAACUGCCUCUAAUACUGUUGGACUAGAGAAUAGUUGCGGUAGGCGGAAUGUAUGGUGUAGCGGUGAAAGGCUUAGAGAUCAUACAGAACACCGAUUGCGAAGGCAGCUUACCAACCUAUAUCUGACGUUGAGGCACGAAAGCGUGGGUAGCAAACAGGAUUAGAUACCCCGGUAGUC
rnacentral:rRNA from 1 species